AGGAACUGGCUCUUUAAGAAUAAAGAACACGGAAAAGUCAGUGCUGCAGCAAGUCUGGGUAUGAUUAUGCUUUGGGAUGUUGAUUCUGGACUUGCCCAACUUGACAAGUAUUUCCACAGUAAUGACAACCAUGUCAUAGCCGAUGCAUUGUUGGGAGUUGGUAUUGUGAACUGCGAUAUCAAGAAUGACUGUGAUCCUGUGAGUUCUACUUUGGCAUUUUCUGUACACAAGUCCUGUGACUGUUAUGUAUUUGGAAAUCCUAAAUUUUCUUUUUUCAGGCAUUGGCAUUUCUUGCUGAUUAAAUAGAUAAAGAGGAUUCUUCUGUCAGAAUUGGUGCAAUAAUGGGUCUAGGCCUUGCUUAUGCUGGUGCCCAAAAUGAGCAGAUCCGUAGUAAAUUGACUCCUAUCCUUGGAGAUAACAAAGUGCCUCUUGAUAUGAUUGCGUUCACUGCUAUUUCAUUGGGCUUCGUAUAUGUUGGUUCCUGUAAUGAAGAGGUUGCUCUGGCAAUUAUAUUUGCAUUAACGGACCAAAGCGUUUUGUACAUCACCAAAUGGGGUCAGAUUGGCACGAAACUUGGCACA